rnacentral:RNase_P_RNA from 1 species
GAAAUAAGCUAACCUAUCGCUGCGGGUGACCGUAGAGGAAAGUCCGAACAACAAAGAGCAUCAUGCUACCUAACGGGUAGGGUUUCAUUUUAAUGAAAUACAGAAAGUGCCACAGAAAUAAUACCGCCCAGCAAUUGCGGGGUAAGGGUGAAAUGGAGGUGUAAGAGACCCCCGAGCCGAUUGCGAAAUUGGCUGCAUUGGUAAACCUCAUGAGUUGAAAGACCAAAUAUACCGACAUUGCAGGGCUGCUCGCCUUAGUCGGAGGGUAGGUCGCUAGAGUGAAGAAGUGAUUUUUCACCGAGAUAAAUGAUAGGAAAAUACAGAAUUCGGCUUAUUAGCUUAUUUCUUUU